UCGCGAAUAUGGACGAUGAAACUAUGAGAAUUGCUCUAAGAAGGAUAAGGAAUUUUGUGCUUCAAACAAAAGGAUUUAACAGUAAAACUGCAUUUAAGAAACAAUGCAGCAGGAGCAAACUUCAGAUCAGUUUAUCGUUUCGACGAAUGGAUGAUUUCAUGAAUUCACCAGUUCAUUCUCCAAUGAGUUCACCUUUGGUCAGGACUUGAAGAGAAAAAAUGGCUUAGUUUCUUGUUGUUUGUUUAAUAAGAGGAGUGAAAAUUCACCUUUGGUCAGGACUUGAAGAGGAAAAAUGGCUUAGUUUCUUGUUGUUUGUUUAAUAAGAGGAGUAAAAAUUUCCUCUAUUAUAUAGUGAUGAGUGAUAGAAUAUUUGAUAUAUAUAUCUAUCUAUAUAUAUAUAUCAGUAUUUGAUUUCACAGUUUAUUCCAUUUUGUGCAGCUGAUCAAGAUAAGAAACAAGUUCUUCAGAGAAUGUUUUGGAAUUUUAUUAUCUGAAUUUUUCCUAUGAUUUCAUCAAUGUAAAAUGUAUCAAAAUGGGAUAUACUGUGGAAUUUUAUUUGUUCUUGGUUUUUUUUUGUAUUCCUUUUUAAGAAAAGGAAACUCAAAGUUGUAACCAGAACUUUUACUUGCUUAUAUAUGAAAUUUACUGGUGUGUUCUUGACAAUUUUUUUUCUUGGUUUUCAAUUUUAAACCAAAAGACA
rnacentral:lncRNA from 1 species